GAAAUCAUACUAUACAGAAUCAUUUCUGUAGUGUGUAUUUCGCAUUCCCAACAAAAAGGCGAUACCUGUCCACCGCGAUGAACGGGAGACGGGCGAGUCGCGAGCGGGAAGAACGCGGAAACGCGUUGAGGACCGUGACCAGACCGCAAGUUUGGUCAGCGACUCGCUCUUCUGAGCGGU
rnacentral:snoRNA from 1 species